GACGAACGCUGGCGGCGUGCCUAAUACAUGCAAGUUGAGCGCUGAAGGUUGGUACUUGUACCAACUGGAUGAGCAGCGAACGGGUGAGUAACGCGUGGGGAAUCUGCCUUUGAGCGGGGGACAACAUUUGGAAACGAAUGCUACUACCGCAUAAAAACUUUAAACACAAGUUUUAAGUUUGAAAGAUGCAAUUGCAUCACUCAAAGAUGAUCCCGCGUUGUAUUAGCUAGUUGGUGAGGUAAAGGCUCACCAAGGCGAUGAUACAUAGCCGACCUGAGAGGGUGGUCGGCCACAUUGGGACUGGAGAACGGCCCAAACUCCUACGGGAGGCAGCAGUAGGGAAUCUUCGGCAAUGGACGAAAGGCUGACCGAGCAACGCCGCGUGAGUGAAGAAGGUUUUCGGGUCGUAAAACUCUGUUGGUAGAGAAGAACGUUGGUGAGAGUGAAAAGCUCAUCAAGUGACGGUAACUACCCAGAAAGGGACGGCUAACUACGUG
rnacentral:rRNA from 1 species